rnacentral:misc_RNA from 1 species
GAAAUUCAAUAAUGUGUUGGACGACAUCAGAAAAGUUGUUAAGUUUAAUUUUAUUUUAAUUGUCGUAUGUACAUUUAAGUGAACUUGUCGACUGCUACCUGGUAUUCGUGUUGACUGCUGCGUGGUUUUCGUGAACAAGAGACCGAAGAUGGCCGCCACCCGAGACCGGCGCGUGAAUGCGGGCAGUAAGAUGUCGCGGUUGUUGGAGGACGAUGAUGAAGACGAUUUCUACAAGACAACAUACGGCGGAUUCAACGAGGAGGAGGAGGAUAAGGACUAUGAGUCGGAGGACUUGCCGUCUGACACGGUCGACUCGGACUUUGACAUCGAUGAACACGACGAGGCGCGAAGCGAUGUCGAGAACGGUGACGAACCCAAGAGAAAGAAACGCGGCAUCGACACGAAGGCGUACAAGGAACCAAUCUCCAAAGAGCCACCGAAAGAGAAAACUGUUGUCAAGAAGAAACCCAAACUUGACAAGUCUCCAGUGCAAAUCUACCACUUUACAGAGAGGAAGAGUAAACGUCAGUCGACGCAGAUGAAGACGGAACAAGCCGCACGCAAUCAGAAGGAGCGGGAACACAAGAUGAAGAUGAUGAGAGAAAUCGCGUCGAGGAAAAACGUGUCGAGCGUGCGUCGCCUCACACAGGCCGAGCUCCUGAAGGAGGCAAAACACACGGAGAAACUCAAUCAGCAGAGUUUAGAGGAUUUCCGUAAGCUUGAGUUGGAGAAGAAGAAGACACGCGUCACGAAGCAGGUGUACCGCGGUCCAGUGAUUCGCUACCACUCUGUAACCAUGCCCGUCGUCGAGGAGCUGUACGCAGAGCCAGAAAUAAACGUAGAGGGAGAGAGUUCUGUAGAGCUCCCGCGGAAAUGUGAAGAAGUGAAAUGUGUCACCAAGUGUUCGCGGACGUUCAUCACAUUCACCGAUGACGCAAUCUACCAGGAUCUGUUUGCCAAAAAGCGAGAGAAGUACGCUCCGAAACAGAUUUGUCCCAUCACCCGGCAACCCGCCAAGUAUUUCGACCCCAUCACGCAGACGCCAUACGCGACACUGCACGCGUUCCGGUGUAUCCGAGUGGCAUAUGCACAGCAGCUCGAGAGUGCGAAGAUUCGCAAGAAAGAGAAGUCUCCAGUGACCAUGUUAGAAACACCCAGCGUCAGUGUUAGUAGCUGAUAGAACAGAUUUGAAUAUUGCAGAAGAGAAGCAAAUUGUUGAAAGAAGGAUACAGCACUAGUGACUAUAUUUCUGUUUGAAAGAACAGAAUUGAACAUAAAAGAUUAAAAUAUAACAAAAGAGAAACAAAUUCUCGAAAGAAGGAAAAAUGACCAGUUACCAUGUUGUAAAAACUGAACGUCAGUGUUAGUAGCUGAUAGAACAGAUUUGAAUAUUGCAGAAGAGAAGCAAAUUCUUGAAAGAAAGAUAAAGUAGUAGUGACUAUGUGUCUGUUUGAAAGAACAGAUUUGAAUAUUACAAAAUGGACACACUGGUAGGUGAUUUCACCAUCUGAUAGUUGAAACAUAAAAGAUUUGAUUGUUACAUAAGACAUUGGACUUACGGAAGAAGGAUAAAGUACUAGUCACUAUGUUAAAUUCACCAAGCGGCUUCAGGGUUUGACAGAUCCGCUAGUCCUCAAUCCCAGCUGUUGUUGGUCGAGGCUAGUACAAAAUAACAGCUUUAUUACUAUAAUAUAUAGGGCACUAGCCAAAGCUUCUGUGAGGGCCGAAUGGCUGACUGGGACAAACAGAUCACUAGUGACUACAGGUAUAGGACAAACAAAUCACCAGUGACUGCAGGUCUAGGAUUGACAAAUCACCAGUGACUACAUGUCUAGGAUCGACAAAUCACUAGUGACUACAGGUCUAGGAUUGACAAAUCACUAGUGACUACAGGUUUAGGACAAACAAAUCAAUAGUGACUACAGGUCUCUGUGUUUAGAAACAUCAGGAUGUCAGUCUGGUAUUCUACUGGUAAUCAUUCCUGGUGAGAAACAUGAAGACGUUCCCGACCUUGCAGUUGUCCAAGGCAGUUGGCCAUGCAAUACAGAUUGCAAUAAACCAUUCAGUUCUGCACA